ACGGAGGGUGCGAGCGUUGUCCGGAAUCACUGGGCGUAAAGGGCGCGUAGGUGGCCCGUCAAGCGCGCGGUGAAAGCCCGGGGCCCAACCCCGGGUCGGCCGUGCGGACUGGCGGGCUCGAGCACUGUAGGGGCGGGUGGAAUUCCGGGUGUAGCGGUGGAAUGCGUAGAUAUCUGGAGGAACACCGGUGGCGAAGGCGGCAUCCUGGACCAAUAUUGACGCUGAGGAGCGAAAGCCAGGGGAGCAAACGGGA
rnacentral:rRNA from 1 species